ACGCAAUAAGUAUCCCGCCUGGGGAGUACGGCCGCAAGGUUGAAACUCAAAGGAAUUGACGGGGGCCCGCACAAGCAGCGGAGCAUGUGGUUUAAUUCGAAGCAACGCGAAGAACCUUACCAGAACUUGACAUCUCCUGCAUUACUCGUAACUGAGGAAGUCCUUCGGGACAGGAAGACAGGUGGUGCAUGGUUGUCGUCAGCUCGUGUCGUGAGAUGUUGGGUUAAGUCCCGCAACGAGCGCAACCCUUAUCAUUAGUUGCCAGCAGUAAGAUGGGCACUCUAGUGAGACUGCCGGAGACAAUUCGGAGGAAGGCGGGGAUGACGUCAAAUCAUCAUGCCCCUUAUGUUCUGGGCUACACACGUGCUACAAUGGGCGCAACAACGGGAAGCAAGCUAGUGAUAGUGAGCAAAUCCCUAAAAAUCGCUCUCA
rnacentral:rRNA from 1 species